GGCAUGAAAAUGUCGGGCAUGACGAACCCGCUCCCCCGAGUCCCCUGGCAACAGGGUGUGUUCCCUUAUGGAGCACGUUCGAGCA
rfam:Cell fusing agent virus strain Galveston, complete genome